CAGUGUGUUUCCAAGGGCCAUGGCUGGUUGUGGCCUUGGGCUUUCCAACUGUAGACAGAGAAACUGGAGAAACUUGGACAGCUCAGGUAAGCACAGUGCCUGCAGCUGCCACGCAGCUUUCCUGUACAC